UACACCCUUCUUUUAACGUCAUCCCUCGUAUCUCAUCCAACACUACCUCCUCCAACGUUACACUGCCGAGUCUUGCACCUACUCUCAAGGACCCACCGCGUAUCACCACCGCCGAUCAGGGGGCAGCCGAUAAGACGUUGGGGACACCGUCUGCCGGCAUAGCCCAGGCCGUAUCGAUGAGGUGGAUCUGAGACGGGGGUAUUCAAUGUUUCGUAUGUCGAUGCAGUACGAGACCGAUAUUGGUAAACCGUGGAUGAUGUAUUCGUACAGCACCGGCCAUCUUUCAAGUACAGUACAUACUUGUACUGUGCUCGUGCCCAUACAGCACUUCAUCGCACUGUAUCGUACAGUAUGAAUGUCGGAUCGGAACCCGAUCCACCUCAUCGCCCCGAACUGGAAUAAUUAAACCCUCGCACCCCCGCUGAGACAGAAAAAGAAAUUCGUGCUGCCGAAAUUGGUCCACCGUACGAGGUUGCUACAACACAAUAAGCGAGCCAGUGAGCGCUAUUUCGGGAGAACCGCGGGGUUGCACCAGGUCAUGUGAUCUCAUCUUCCAUGAUUCGGUACCGUCACGUGAGUUUUGGCGAAACUCAACUCCCCAAUAUGGCGUCUAUAUGGACAUGCUAAAUGGAGGAGAGAUAGGAAGAAUACCACAUAUGGUGCAUUACUUGUAGUAGUUAAAGAAAGCUCAAGUAAAGACGGACGGCACCAUACAGCACACGGGGGUCAAGAGGCGUCACAUACCCCAACAAUAAGACACCAGCCGGUCCAAGACCUCCCACGUUCCCCUUGUUAAAUCUUUAACAAAAUCAAACUAUAAUGUCAAGUAAAUUACAAGA
rnacentral:misc_RNA from 1 species